rnacentral:piRNA from 1 species
UCACCAAGACGCAGGAGGUGCUGCCAAACA